GACAGAGGGUGCAAACGUUGUUCGGAAUUACUGGGCGUAAAGCGCGUGUAGGCUGCUCCGCAAGUCGGAUGUGAAAGCCCUGGGCUCAACCUAGGAAGUGCAUUCGAUACUGCGGAGCUGGAGCCCUGGAGAGGAAGGCGGAAUUCUCGGUGUAGAGGUGAAAUUCGUAGAUAUCGAGAGGAACACCGGUGGCGAAGGCGGCCUUCUGGACAGUGACUGACGCUGAGACGCGAAAGCGUGGGGAGCAAACAGG
rnacentral:rRNA from 1 species